rnacentral:piRNA from 1 species
UCAGAAUAAUUAUUUCGGGUUUAUUCGC